GCCGGGGUAGCUCAGACUGGGAGAGCGCCCGGCUGAAGACCGGGCGGUCGUGGGUUCAAAUCCCACCCCCGGCA
rnacentral:tRNA from 3 species